rnacentral:rRNA from 1 species
UACGGAGGGUGCGAGCGUUGUCCGGAAUUACUGGGCGUAAAGGGCGCGUAGGCGGCCCGCUAAGUCGAACGUGAAAUCCCCGGGCUCAACCCGGGAACUGCGUCCGAUACUGGUGGGCUUGAAUUCGGGAGAGGGAUGCGGAAUUCCAGGUGUAGCGGUGAAAUGCGUAGAUAUCUGGAGGAACACCGGUGGCGAAGGCGGCAUCCUGGACCGAUAUUGACGCUGAGGCGCGAAAGCCAGGGGAGCAAACGGG